rnacentral:rRNA from 1 species
GACUAAGCCAUGCAAGUUGAAUGGUUCUCGUAACCAUAGCGUACUGCUCAGUAACACGUAGAUAACCUACCCUAAGGUUGGGGAUAAUCCCGGGAAACUGGGCAUAAUCCCCAAUAGAUAAGCUGUACUGGAAUGUCUUCUUAUUCAAACCUCCGGGGCCUUAGGAUGGGUCUGCGGCGGAUUAUGGUAGUAGGUGGGGUAACGGCCCACCUAGCCUUUGAUCCGUACCGGACAUGAGAGUGUGUGCCGGGAGAUGGCCACUGAGACAAGGGGCCAGGCCCUACGGGGUGCAGCAGGCGCGAAAACUCUACAAUGCCCGAAAGGGUGAUAGGGGAAUCCCGAGUGCUUCCUUAGCCGGAAGCUUUUCCCGAGCGUAAUGUUCUCGGGGAAUAAGGGGAGGGCAAGGCUGGUGCCAGCCGCCGCGGUAAAACCAGCUCCCGAGUGGUCAGGAUGAUUAUUGGGCCUAAAGCGUCCGUAGCCGGUCGUGUAAGUCGUUGGUGAAAGGCCGGGUCUUAAGCCCGAACCUGCUAGCGAUACUGCGCGACUUGGGACCGGAAGAGGCAAAUGGUACGUUGAGGGUAGGGGUGAAAUCCUGUAAUCCCCAACGGACCACCGGUGGCGAAGGCGAUUUGCUGGGACGGAUCCGACGGUGAGGGACGAAACCCAGGGGAGCGAGCGGGAUUAGAUACCCCGGUAGUCCUGGGUGUAAACGAUGCGCACUAGGUGUUGGCGAAGCUACGAGCUCCGUCGGUGCCGAAGCGAAGGCGUUAAGUGCGCCGCCUGGGGAGUACGGUCGCAAGACUGAAACUUAAAGGAAUUGACGGGGGAGCACCACCAGGGGAGGAGCCUGCGGUUCAAUUGGACUCAACGCCGGAAAACUUACCGGAGUCGACAGCAUGAUGAUGGCCAGGCUGAAGACCUUGCUUGAAGCGCUGAGAGGAGGUGCAUGGCCGUCGCCAGCUCGUACCGUGAGGCGUCCUCUUAAGUGAGGCAACGAGCGAGACCCUCAUCCACAGUUGCCAGCACAAGAUGGUAUCUUGGUGGGCACACUGCGGAGACUGCCCGCGAAAAGUGGGAGGAAGGUGAGGGCCACGGCAGGUCAGUAUGCCCCGAAAACUCCGGGCCACACGCGGGCUACAAUGGCUGGGACAGAAGGCCCCGACCUUGAAAGAGGAAGGAAAUCCUUAAACCCAGUCUCAGUUGGGAUUGAGGGCUGCAACCCGCCCUCAUGAACGUGGAUUCCCUAGUAAUCGCGUGUCAUCUAUCGCGCGAUGAAUACGUCCCUGCUCCUUGUACACACCGCCCGUCGUUGCACUCGAGUUGGGUUUGCCUGAGGCUGCAUUUUCCUUCGGGAAGGCGUAGACGAAGGUGAGUUCGAUAAGAGGGCAAAAGUCGUAACAAGGUA